AUCAGGUUCCCAACCUUCAGUUAAUCAAUACUCAGUCCAUCAAGGGAGAGAGGAGCCUCUCCAGUGUCACAGACCCCCCAGGAAACACAGCUGCCCCCCUGUGUUUCCAUGUCACACAUGGCACCACCCGGAGAAAAUCUGCCACUGUGACACUCUCCUGUCCAUGUCACAGUGCUCUCACCACCGUGCAUGACAGACUGCUCAUAGGGCUCCUUUAAAGAUGCUUUGCCAAGUACCAAAAGAACAACAGUUCAGUUUCUCGUUUUGGGACAACAGUCCCCCCCAUUCUUCCCUCCCCUGGGGCCGAGGGUCUCAAGAACAGAGAUCUUCUUCUCCACUCCUGCACUUGCAUCUACUGAAGCAGGAUGUUCCUGGUCUGGGGACUGUGUGCAGGGGCACAGUACUUGGUAUUUUCAAAAGAAACUCUGCAGUCAGAGCCUGGCUGUUUACCCUGGGGGUAGCACAAGGAAGAGGAGGCAGUUGCUCCCUGCUCCACUUGUUGGCUAUUAAGUAAACUGAGCAGAAAGAGUUUGAUAAUAAGUGGGAGGCAGGUAUGUGGCACCAAGGAGCCAGGUUUAUGGUUGGCUUUCUGAGCAUUUUAAAAUACACUGUGAAAUUGA